rnacentral:rRNA from 1 species
UACGUAGGGUGCGAGCGUUAAUCGGAAUUACUGGGCGUAAAGCGUGCGCAGGCGGUGAUGUAAGACAGAUGUGAAAUCCCCGGGCUCAACCUGGGAACUGCAUUUGUGACUGCAUCGCUGGAGUGCGGCAGAGGGGGAUGGAAUUCCACGUGUAGCAGUGAAAUGCGUAGAGAUGUGGAGGAACACCGAUGGCGAAGACAGCCCCCUGGGCUAACACUGACGCUCAUGCACGAAAGCGUGGGGAGCAAACAGG